UACGUAGGGUGCAAGCGUUACUCGGAAUUACUGGGCGUAAAGCGUGCGCAGGCGGCUUUGCAAGACAGAUGUGAAAUCCCCGGGCUUAACCUGGGAACUGCAUUUGUGACUGCAUGGCUCGAGUACGGUAGAGGGGGAUGGAAUUCCGCGUGUAGCAGUGAAAUGCGUAGAUAUGCGGAGGAACACCGAUGGCGAAGGCAGUCCCCUGGACCUGUACUGACGCUCAUGCACGAAAGCGUGGGGAGCAAACAGG
rnacentral:rRNA from 1 species